UGAGUAACGUGUGGGUAACCUGCCUUGUACAGGGGGAUAACAGUUGGAAACGGCUGCUAAUACCGCAUAAGCGCACAGCAUCGCAUGAUGCAGUGUGAAAAACUCCGGUGGUAUAAGAUGGACCCACGUUGGAUUAGCUAGUUGGUGAGGUAACGGCCCACCAAGGCAACGAUCCAUAGCCGACCUGAGAGGGUGACCGGCCACAUUGGGACUGAGACACGGCCCAA
rnacentral:rRNA from 1 species